CAUCUUCUGAAACAUCAGGAUCAUCAGGUCUACAGUGAAGUCAGCAUGAAGACUCUCAGCCUGACAGUGGGACUGCUGCUCAUGCUGUUCACCGUUUACCACAGCGAUGCCUCUAAGGCAGUGAUUUCUCCUGACUUUUGUUGUUUUCACUUCUUUGACAAACGGAUCCCAAAGGCGAACAUCGUCUCCAUCGUGAAAACUCACAGACAAUGCCCCACACCAGCAUUUGUGAUCAAGACACACAAAAGGCUUUUGUGUGUUAAACAGACUGCAGAGUGGGCAAAAGAACAAUUUGACAACCAAAGGAGAUUUUGACCCAGCCUGAUAUGACAAUGUCUUAAAGAGCUUCAUCUGAUGAGGAAAGUUUAUAAUGCAACAAUAUGUAAAAACAUGUAUUGAAUUAUUUUAUAAUUUUCUUUCACUAUGCAAU